CAGUCGCCGCGGUAAUACGGAGGGUGCAAGCGUUAAUCGGAAUUACUGGGCGUAAAGCGCACGCAGGCGGUCUGUCAAGUCGGAUGUGAAAUCCCCGGGCUCAACCUGGGAACUGCAUUCGAAACUGGCAGGCUAGAGUCUUGUAGAGGGGGGUAGAAUUCCAGGUGUAGCGGUGAAAUGCGUAGAGAUCUGGAGGAAUACCGGUGGCGAAGGCUGCCCCCUGGACAAAGACUGACGCUCAGGUGCGAAAGCGUGGGGAGCAAACAGGAUUAGAUACCCCGGUAGUCCCUGUCUCUUAUAC
rnacentral:rRNA from 1 species